GAGGGUAUAGCUCAGUGGUAGAGUGUGUGCCUAGCACGCACAAGGUCCUGAGUUCAAUUCCCAGUACCUCCA
rnacentral:tRNA from 1 species